ACCCACAGAUAGCUGAGUCGGUAGAGCAUGAGACUCUUACUCUUAGGGUUCAAGCCCAACGUUUGGGCA